CUCCUUCCAAAAAAAAAAAAAAAAAAAAAAAAAAACAUGAAAGGCAAAACUACAAGAGUGCAUCAUGCAGGUGCAUCCCAGAGCCUCCGCUGCAACGGAAAAUAAAAGCUAGAUAAAUUCAGUUCUCUUAUCUGUCCUCCGUAGUCCUCUUAAUGAAUAUCAAUAAUUUUGCACCUCAGACACAAGUUAGACCUCAUUCUAUCAUUCAAAGGUCGUAAGUCGUGAAAGAAUCAUAAGCCAUGCAUCUCCUCAGCCAAAAAAAAAAAAAAAAAAAAAACUUCUUAUCAUUAUAGCUCUUAAUUUUGUUGAACUGGCUCCAAGAAUUCCAGUAGUAGUGAAUAAAUUUCACUAUAGGCUACUUGCAAGAUUUUAGAGAACAUAGGCAGGCAGGCCCAUAUAGGCUGGGGCUAUUCUAAUCAACUUGUAGUCUAAAUCCAUGGUAUCCACCACCGGCCUAUGAAUUUUGAUGCCCUUUAAAGAUAUUUUUAUUUAUUUUUAUUCCAAACAGAUUUUUUGAGCCUCUCCCGAUAAACAGUCAUUUUCUUGAUUGAGAUACUUCCUGAGUAAGUGGAUUAUGGAUAAUGAACAGUUUAAAUAGGCUAAUCCCUGUUUUAGGGAAACAAAAUCUUACCAAUAAAAAUUGCCUUAUGGGGACAUUGAUCAAGCUGACGAUCCAUACAUGCAUAACACGAAUUAAUUAAGAUGUUAUUUGCAAUAUGCAGAUGUUUGGAAUAAGAGACAAUAUGUAACAACAUGAUAAUAACUCCAUUAUUUUUAGAAAUUAAUCAUUAACUCCAGUUGGAGUCUUGAUAUUCUACCGUAGCACAUGACCUGGUAAAAGCUAGUGUGGAAAUUUCUCCAAUGAGUAGCAGCAGGCCCUAUUUGUUAGUCAGAAGCAAAGAAAACAAACUAGAAGACAUUUGAUGCGUAAGCUCUAGAAUAAAUUCUGCUCAGACCAGAUUUUUCAUUGAUGUUUUUGUGUAACACAUUGAAACACAAGAGACGAGAAAAGUUAAAACCAUAUGAGACACAGGUUUCUCGCAUCCAUUAGAAAAAAGAUUCUACCACAUUAUUGCAUUUAGGUUGCCCAUCACUGAAUUCAUAUUAAUUCUGAUAUGAUUAUGGAUCUUCACCGCUGACAGGUACCACGGAUGGAACAGAUGUAUGGGCCAAACAAGCUCCAACCAUUUGUCCACCCCAGAUAAGAAAAACCUCAAUCACUUUUCCUUUUACAUGAAGGAAAACUAAGAGGAAAAAAUAUUUUCCACCUGUUAUAUAUUAAAAUUAAAGAACAAGGGCCAAACUGUAUGAGCCAAUCUUCGUGACUCCAGCACACCAUCCUAAAGUACGGCUAACAACAAAGCAAAAAGAACGCCCACCUGGAUAUCCUGUAUCAUUUAUAGUUGCAUUGCGUUUUGGACCAACUGGUAUUUGCUUUUGAAGUGUUCGGUACAUUUAAGGACUAAAUUCUUAUAGCACGGAAUAGUUUAUCUCCAGUUGUAUCACCUAUUUAUCAUAUUUACUUCCAUUCCUAACGUAUUAGAGUUCUAUAAUUAUAUAUAUUGGUAUCUUCAAGAUGAUAAUUAACAGAUUAUGUUUACCAUUUGCCACUGCAUUCAUCACUCUUCAGAAUAAGAGAGUAAGAACUGAGCAGCCAAUACUCAUGUUUUUUCAAUUUUGAGUGAUCACCAGUGAAGAUCAGAAAUGAUGAUCUCAUUGCACAAUGGGGAAAAACGAAAGGAAAUUCCAGUGCAAAAUAAAUAGGUAUCUCCAAAAGUAAACUUAUUGACUAAAGACGCUUGCAUGAAAAAUAUCCAAGAAAUGAUCUUGUGCAGAGACUAACUAGAAAAAGAAUAGAGUGCUUAAUAUGCCUGCUAAGAAAAUUUUAAUUGGAAAAUCAAACAUCCAUAAAGGGGUUCCAACUACUGCCGAAAGAGCAGGUAAGAUGUGUUGACCAUUCCUGCGAGAGAGGAAGUAAAACAAGAUAAUUGUUGUACGGGCAACGCUAGCCAGCUAGAAUGCUUGGAAUAUUGUUCAGGAGAGAGUAUUGCUUACAGGAUCCCAUAUAUAAUGAAGAAAGUGAAAGAGUUCCUUUGCCGUGGGACUUUUUUGGAGAGAAUAUAUGGACUAUCGUGCACACGUGAAAGUCGUAGCACGUUUAGGGAAUUUUUUCGUGGUUCAAGCAUGGACCCAUUUAAGUCGUUCUUGAUGCAGAACAAAAACAUUAGAGUAGUAUGCAGAAAAUCCUGGCAGAAGUUCACCUUCGGAUUUCUGCCUUGUUGCUUUCCUUGUUAGCAUACUUUUCUCCUCAAGCUUCUGCCACAGUAAAUUACCUUACAGUCCUGGAAGAAGCUACCAUAAACCAAACCACGUGAAUUAUGCUUAAAAAUGUAUUAUUUUAGCGUGGAAAGGCAUUUUUGGGGCUUUAUAGGUUAUACUGUUUUUAGAAUUUCUGUAUAGUGGAGUUGUCCACGUUACUAGAACUUAAUGUAGAAAUUCUUUAGUGCAAUAAUAUGAAGACUGUAAUAAAGAAAGAAAAGGACUUAAUUCUGUUUAUAAAUUAUUAUUGUUGUUCAGGGUAAUACUCAUUUUUACAUUUUUAUUCUUGUUCUUUGUCCGGUGUGGAUUUGUGGUUCCUGCGAAGACAAAUCAUUGAAAUUCUACUACCCUUUGCAAGAUUUCUAAGCCAACUGGCUCUACCCCACCUUACCCCCCUCCUCUACUCCGCCUAUAAAGAGCGGGCAUUGCCACCUCAAUGCGCAUAUCAACCCUCCUUACUAGUAGCCUGCUUCCUUUUGACUCUAUACACCCUCUAAUCUUUGCUUUUUUAGCCUUCGCAGUUCAUAACAGAACUAUCAUUGGUAGUGAUUCUCACAAGCAUUAAAGAGCAUCAUCCUUCAAAUAAUUAAUACCUCUACCUAAGCUUCCACUAUCUAUAUCUUAAACUAAGGAUGGCAUCUAGUUCAAUGUCGGCUCAUGGCUCCGGCUCUUGGACUGCCAAGCAAAACAAGGCCUUUGAGAAGGCUCUGGCAGUGUAUGACAAGGACACGCCUGACCGCUGGUAUAAUGUUGCCAGGGCUGUGGGUGGGAAAACAGCAGAGGAAGUGAAAAGGCACUAUGAGCUCCUCGUUGAAGAUGUCAAACAUAUCGAGUCAGGCCACGUGCCCUUUCCGAAAUACCGGACCACUGGAGGGAGCAUGAGUGAAGAGGAAAAGAGGUAGUAUAAUAUAAGCAGCGCACAGUACGUAUAUAUUUUUUUAUUUUGGUUCUUUUUCUUUUUCUACAAAGAAAGAAACCCCACAAUAUCACCUGAGCAAAUUAAGCGGAAUAGAGGGAUAGCCUCCUAACCUGCACAGCAUCCCUUAUUAGCGCCUAGUAUUUCCUAUGGCUACAUUCUGCACCGAAUAAGUAGAGACUUACAUGUUUGCUUUUUAUAUAACCAUGCGAUUCCACCAUUAAAGGAAGCGAAGUCUUAUAAUAGGACCUAGCCUAUUAUCCGAUUAUCUUAAAACUUAAAAGGGGUAUAACGCCGAACAGUUUUAUCCUCCUAAACUUUACAGUCAUUUUUUUUUUUUUGACUCCGCACAGUAAGUAAUAAUUUGGUGCAUAUAUUUAGCUGUAUUUUCUAGCUCGACUGAUAAUAAUUUGGUCAAAAACGAGGAAAGCACUUUCAGAAUCUGAACCAAACAAAGGCUUGGUCAGCAGGCACUAUCUACAUCAAUACCAAACUUUCCCUUCCCUUCAAGGUUACAAAUAGAAAUCCUAAUUUUCUUUUCCUCCUCAGUUACUAACAAGCAAAGUCCUCUCAAUAAAAAUCAGAAGUAGAUCCAAAGUAUGUUAUCUUGCAAUCAGUUUUCACCUGGCAUCUUAACUCAACUAUACAUAUCACUAUCGUGAAUUUCUUCUCUAGUCAACUACUAAAAAAUGUCCUGUUCUUUUCGUCAGAUUAUUAAUUAUUAUAAAUAAGUAUAGUUCUCUUUUUAUUUAUUUUUUUCAAAUUUCCUUUUGCAGGAUGAAAAAUCUGAAGCUGCACUAAGAAGUUUUCCUGUCACCUAAUCAACAAUAAAGAUCUACAUAUAAUCUACUCUUAUCAUUACUUAAAGGAUGCAUUAUAAAGACAGUACCUAUUUGAGAAUUGCCAACCGGUGAUUCUGGUCUUAUUUCUUCAUCUUCUCCGUUCUUGUGCCAACUCUUUGUCAAGUAUUCCUCUAUUGUCACUGCAAAUCCAUCGUGUAUCAAGAGAUGAGCAUCGCAAUUUUCUUUUUCCAAGUCUUAUGAUGUGUAACAAAUUCGCUACAUCUGCAAUAUAUAAGUUCCACGUUAGCUUUGUUAAAAUCAGCAGUUCUCGAUAAAAAUCACGCAAUACAGAGUAAAGGAGAAUCAUAAUUAGAGGUGUUAAUCGAUUUUUGGGUUUAUAACCGUAUAACUGACCUUGGUGAUUUAUGAUCUGAGAUCAUUGGAAUGAUCGCAAAAAAAAAAAAGUUGCUGGUAAGAGUAAAAAGAAAUAAGAGAUGAAUGGCGGGCAUUUUGUGCGAGAGAGAAAAAAGGGAAAAGGCGGGAAAUUGGAGUUUGAAAUUAAUUAGUUAAAGGGG
rnacentral:lncRNA from 1 species